GUCAGUACAAAAUAAUGUACAGAGUAUGAAAGGCAAUAGACUAUGAUGAGGUAUCCUGAUAUACUGGAAUAAUCUGAUAAAUAAAUUAAGGAUAAGAUAAUUGUACUGACCUGCUUCUAAAUCUAAAUUUAUCAAAAAUAAUAAAACAACAACCUAACCAAGCCCCCAUAAGCUCGGUAGGUACAAACAGCACACAAGACCACCUACUCAGACCUCCAUAAGCUCAGAAGGUGCCAAUCAGCCUGUAUACCCCUAUCGGUAGUCCCCAACCCCGCAGGCAGUCCAUAGCCCUCUUAGGCAUCAACAUUGCUUAUAGACAACUCGUACAAACAGCACACAAGACCACCUACUCAGACCUCCAUAAGC
rnacentral:lncRNA from 1 species